UACAGGGGGUGCAAACGUUGCUCGGAAUUAUUGGGCGUAAAGCGCGCGUAGGCGGCUACCUAAGUCGGAUGUGAAAGCCCCUGGCUUAACUGGGGAAGUGCACCCGAAGCUGGGUAGCUAGAGUGCAAAAGAGGGUCGCGGAAUUCCCGGUGUAGAGGUGAAAUUCGUAGAGAUCGUAAGGAAGACCAGUGGCGAAGGCGGGUCUCUGGACAGUUCCUGACACUGAGGCACGAAGGCCAGGGGAGCAAACGGG
rnacentral:rRNA from 1 species